GAUGAAGAACGUAGCGAAAUGCGAUACUUGGUGUGAAUUGCAGAAUCCCGUGAACCAUCGAGUCUUUGAACGCAAGUUGCGCCCGAAGCCACUAGGCCGAGGGCACGCCUGCCUGGGCGUCACACGCCGUUGCCCCCCCAUCUACUCCUUCGGGAUUGCGGGGGGGCGGAUGAUGGCCUCCCGUGCGCCUAGCCGCGCGGUUGGCAUAAAUACCAAGUCCUCGGCGACGCACGCCACGUCAAUCGGUGGUUGCGAAACCUCGGUUGCCCGUCGUGUGCGUUCGUCGCGCAUCGAGGGCUCGAAAAAAUGCUCGGCUCCGGCUGGGCUUUCAACGCGACCCCAAGUCAGGCGGGGUUACCCGCUGAAUUUAAGCAUAUCAAUAAGCGGAGGA
rnacentral:misc_RNA from 1 species